GCCCCUGUAGCGCAAUGGUAGCGCGUGAGACUGUUCGUGCCUUCUAGUUCCUCUAUUUCUCUUGCUCAACUAACAAAGAUACAGUCUAAUCUCAAGGUUGCGGGUUCGAGCCCCGCCAGGGGUU
rnacentral:tRNA from 1 species